rnacentral:rRNA from 1 species
GUGCCAGCCGCCGCGGUAAGACGUAGGUGGCGAGCGUUAUCCGGAUUUACUGGGCGUAAAGCGCGUGCAGGCGGUUCGGUAAGUCGGGCGUGAAAUCUCCUGGCUCAACUGGGAGAGGCCGUCCGAUACUACCGGACUUGAGGGCAGUAGAGGGAGGUGGAAUUCCGGGUGUAGUGGUGAAAUGCGUAGAUAUCCGGAGGAACACCGGUGGCGAAAGCGGCCUCCUGGACUGCCCCUGACGCUCAGACGCGAAAGCUAGGGGAGCGAACGGGAUUAGAUACCCCGGUAGUCC